GAGUUACAUCCAUGGUAGCAGUCAAGCUCAAUUUGUGGCUGAAUCUCACAUUAUUCUUCUGUUGAAUGCGGCCAUCACCAUGGGAAUGGUUCUUCUGAAUGAAGCCGCCACCUCCAAGGGAGAUGUGGGCAAGCGAAGGAUUAUCUGUCUUGUUGGGCUCGGUUUAGUGGUGUUCUUCUUUAGCUUCCUUCUCUCCAUCUUCAGAUCAAAAUAUCAUGGUUAUCCUUACAGCUUCCUGAUUAAGUAAGAUCAUGCCGUGAAAGAAAAAUUCUGCUGUUCUUCUUGAGUUUCAGGCAGCUGCUUAUACUGUUCAUACUGUAAUGCAAUGCAUGUGUAACCGAAGAAAAAAAUAAAUUGAACAAUUACA